rnacentral:lncRNA from 1 species
GAGUCUUACAUUGUAACAUCUCGAUAAAGAAUAAAAAAAUUUAGAAUUUAAUAGGAAAAAGGGAAUCAAUUGCUCAUAUUUUUUUUGGAGAUCGGAUGGCUCUAGGACGUCAUAUUUAAGCUACCUUUUUCCUACCUAUCCGAGGAGAAGAAACCCUAAAGAAAAAUAGGGGGAGGCGAGGUGAAAUAGAGGCCAGGAGAGGGAAGAAGAAGGGAGACGGUGGUGAAGGAAGGAGAAGAAUAGGAAGAAGAGAUGGUGAUGGAAGAAGAAGAAGAAGAAGAUUUGUGCGCGCGAUCGAAAAGCAUCGUGUGGUGCGCGCGACCGAAAAACAUUGUGUGGUGCGUGCGACCGAAAAGCAUCAUGUGGUACGUCUUGUGUAAAGGGCGAAGGAGAGAGAAUAGAAGUAUGAUGCGAGCGAUCAAGGAAN